GCAGCUUGUACAGUAUUCGCUCAGCUGGACUCUGACAAGGAAUGAUAGAGUAGAGAUAGUAUUGCCCCAGUAACUUCACUUGGUUGUGUGGUGUUCUCUUCUUUGAAAAGACCUUUCAUGUCAGAAGGGUCGUGUUAGUCUCCCACAGUCGGGUCCACCGCGUCUUUUCAAUGGCGAAUGUCCGGGUGAUGUCACGGACAGGGGAUGCAGCCAAUAUGGCGACCACUUGGAUGUCGUCGAAAGACUUCCGCAACUUUGCGCAUGGAUGACGCGCUCUCCGCUCACAUUUAUUUUUUCGUAUAGACGUUGAAGUGAAUAAUGUUAUAUGUAUUUUUCAUUACAAUAUCUAUUUUAGAAUCUUUAUAGGAUGACACUUGACCUUUAAAGUGCCACUGUCACGUAAUGCAUGACUUUUAGUAUGUUAUGAAUUAAAAAACGGCAGCCAACAUGGACCCAUGCGUUUUUUCACCAUAAAACAUGUUUUUGAUGUAUACAGCGUUUUGUAACUCCUGCCAUGAAAAUCCUCUCGAGGGAUUUGUUUUCGAGAAGAACCAGGAAGUGACGUAAAGGACAGACCCGCCCUCAAGUGGACUCGUUUGUUUCUGUUAGUUUUACCUCUGGGAAGGUAGCUCAUUGUUCCUUUGUGUUAGCCAAAAUGCCGGCUCGUUGCAUUGCUGGACAUUGCUUGAAAACUUGGGAUGAUAGAUUUACCCUUCAUAAGUUUGGAAGAGACCCAGUUCGUCGUGAAAAAUGGAUUGCACAGGUGCAGAGGACUAGAGCUUCGUGGGUUCCAAAUUACGGGUAGGUGUCUAUACAGCUACUAAAAAAAAAUAAUAGUUUGGGGCGGACCACGUAAUCAAUCUUUCAUAACGUAACAAAAGAUCCGCGUACGAAAUGUGUCGAUAUGCAUGUCAGACGGCGUCGGGCUGCUGCAAGUAUGGCAACCACUUGGAUGUCCUAGAAUGACACUUCCGCAACUUUGCGCAUGGAUGACGUGUUCUUCACUCACAUUUAUUUUUCGUAUAGACAUUGAAGUGAAUAAUGUUAUAUGUAUUUUUCAUUACAAUAUCUAUUUUAGAAUGUUUAUAGGGAUGACACUUGACUUUUAAGGUACUAUAAUGUGUUUGUGAUUUGUUAUCCCUUUUACUCCUCAUGCUGCAUGAGCACCAGCCAGUAAGCCAAAGAACCACAGCCUGUUGGUCUCCUCUGACCAGAAGCAGACAGACAAUUAAUGACAGUGUUUGGUGAAAAAUACCACAAUGUUUGACAAGACAGUGCUGUUGAAAAAUAGUGAGCGUGGGGGAAUAUAUGGCAUCACAUGCAGUGAAAACGCGUGAUUUUUCAUACAAUGAGGAUCUAUGAAUAUCGCAUAGCCUACACAUUUUGUACUAAUGAAGUCCUUUCAAAGUCUUGUGUUGUUGUGUUUAAUGAAAUUUGUCAUACUUAAUGAAGGGAGAGAUUGAUUCAGACAGAGAAUUCCAUGACAGUUGUACUGUUUUAUAAGUCUGACAAGUUCGAUGGUUUCAUUUUAUACAGUACUGUAUAUCAAUUGUUCAACUGUAUAGAUUUUAGAUUUUCAUCCAUUACAUCUUGAGUACCAACAUGACCAAAAAAAAUAAACAGCUGACAUUUUUUCAAGUUUGAGUAUUUAAGUUUCCAAAGGUACCCACACGAACAUUUCCAACUGUUCUCUGGGUGUGGGAAAUGGGGAUAGGUUUGCAUGUUUUGCCUGCCAGCAGGUAGUGGUGAGUUGUAUGCUGAUGCAGUUGACUGAAUGAGAAGAAGAAAAUGCAUGAUGUCCCUUAAUUCGAAAAAAAGGGUGCUUGUUGCUAUAAACAAGUCUAGAAGCCUCCAGUUUUCUUGUGGUGAAGGCAAUAAAUUAACGUUUUCCACACACCACCUGAGGCAUUUGUCGUGAGUGGUGUAGGGAACGAGCUAGAAAGCAUGUGUUCGCCUUCAGGCGGGGAUCUAGUUUAUCAUCACAAACCUUGAAUAUGUAGCUAGUUAGGCAGUUACCUACCACGGCCUGAUGGCGAUAACAUAACGAGGCGACAACCCAUAGUACUUUUUAUUCGAAACUUUUCUUUGUUUAAAACCUCGGUGAGUAUAUAUUUCUUUCCAAAUUACUUCAUUUAUUUGUACUUAUAGAUGUAAAAGUAAGUAGUAGUAGAUGUACUAGUACUAGAUGCAUAAGAGAAAUAUGAAAGUGAUAUGACUGCUCGCACUGUUUUUUGACGCUCGCAAAAAUGUUGGUCGCAUUGCAAAAUCGUUUUUUUAAAUUCCAUCCAUUCAGCUGUCAACGGACAGGAGGCAGGGUACACCCUGAACUAGAACAUGUGUAUUGAAAAAUUUGGUACUUACAUUACGAUACUAACCUACUUUGCAGGGAAAGCUACCUUGGCAAAUGCACCGAAGAAAUUAUAUGUUCAUCUUGAGAGUGGUAUGCAAUUUUAGCAGAUGGAAUCUUGUUACUCAACCAAAUAUAUUUUAAAUAUCCUGAAACACUGGCCUCCACUAUUGAGGAUAUAUAUUCUAUCAAUUAAGGGUGCUGGCUGUGCCGAUUACAUUUAUAAUGAAUCCAAAAUAUCUGUUCUUUUUUUAGCUAACACAAGUGGGUAUGGUACUCAUCCAACUUCCUUGGGGCAGAAUAAGACGGCUAUAGUAAAAGUGACCGCUCCACAAACCUCCUGAAGUGGAGGAUUCGGAAAGUGAAGCCAGUCCUGUAAUUGCCCCACAAGACCAUCAAAGCAGUGGAACAGGUGGUUCACCAUCAGCAUGAAGAACCCUAAGACAUUCAAAACCAAGACAUCUACCAUUAACCUCAAGCCAUCCACCACCAAAGAUGAGCCUCUUCCAUUCCUCCAAAGAGAGUUGGCCAUGUAAGAAGCAAGGUUCCAAAAAAUGGCUGAUGCUGAUUACUGAGAUAAGGGACACCAGCAGGCAUCAAGACCAUAGGGCAGCACAACAAGAGGACGUCGACAUUGUACAGAUAAAAUAUGUGGCCGACUUCAUUGUCCUUGAACAGAAGGUGACAGAAGACCCUUCUGCUUCUGCAGAACUGAAAUUACAAAUGUUGAAAGUUGGAUGGGUAAACCUUAAAGAAAAUAUCAAACGGAUCCUGAAGAGGUAAUUGAAUAUUAUGUAUUUUGUACAGAAUGUAUUUUUUUUUACCAGUAAUAUACAGUUCAGAAUAAGGUGAAGAUUUUGUACUUGUUUAAACUUUCAAAUGAUAUUGCAAUUAUUAAUACAAUUGAAAGUAUUUUCUGUGCUGUUUGCAGACUUUUGAACUAUGAGGUCCUUCUAAUGCUCUUUCUAUAAACAAAAUAGGGAUUCUUGUGUUAAAUAGAUUCCUAACUGAUAGUUAUGAUGUUUUCCAGACGUAAUAAUAACCAAGUUUCUUAAUUUUGAACUCAAAAUGUGUCUUGAGAAACCAUGAGGGGACCCUGGGUGACGUACAAAGUGCGGCCACGUCAUGCCUGAAAUAUGCGCCUGACAGAUGUGGUGGCAGUGGCAGGAAACAGGACGGGAGGAACCAUGAUGGACAGUAAAUAUGAGAGACACAUAGUUAAAGUUCACAUAGUGGAAUAUUAUAUUUUAUUUUGUUUGUAACAUAAUUUGAGCAAAAAGUUAUUUGUUCUAAAUGACAGAAGAAAAAAAAUGUGUUCUAAAUGUUAAACAUGCAUGUAUUACUGUGGGGUGAAGAACCUAAUUGUUUGGAAUUGUCUGAAGUUUGAUUGGUUUCACACUGCAUAAUAAAGGUUUGUUUGUUUGUUUGUUUUAAUGGCUCAAUUUCCAUGUAGCAUGUUGUUUCUAUGUUCUAAGGCAACGUUGAUUGUAUGUGGGAUUGUCACAUUAAUGCAAUUGAAGUAAGAAUAAUUUAGUUGUGUUGUUUUUCCAUAUUUAAAAGAUGUUUCGCAAUAGCUUCGACUGUUUCGCAAUAGCUUUGUAUAACCAGCAAUGUCAUAAAAGGAUGUUUGGAUAACCAGCAAUGUCAUAAAAAGAUGUUUAUGUUAUAUAUGAUGUUGAGCAAAGCCAUUUGUUAAGAACAAAGAUAGCGUGGCGUCAGGCGGGCUGAAUUGGCCACUCACCCCUCCUUCCGCACACGCUUAGAGUAUAAAAGGAGAACUUUGGAUACUCUCGGUAGAGUCUGCUGCGGGUUGCGUACGGACGCCCAGCCGGUAUUGAAGCUCGCUCUAUCUGGAGUGUUGGCUCUCCCUCCUAUAGCGCACGCCGGAUUCCAACAUACCGGAGGAUCCCAGCUUCAGAGUUGACUUCCAGGAAGACCGUGGCCACGGCAACACAGACCAGUUAAGGGACUGGUCCUCGAUCUUUCAAACUGGGAUCUGAAGGUUGACGGAAAUCCGAGGGACAAGAAGACAUCUUGAAAGCUGGAGCCAAUCCCAGCUAACUUUGGGCAGCGGCAGACUACACCCCGAACUGGUCGCCAGCCAGUCGCAGUGCAGAUGUCGACUCCAUCACUGCGCGGGAAUCGAUCCCAUGCUGGCUUCACUCAAAAUGUCCCUCUGAGGGAAACCCGAACUACAACGUGGCCUGCAAGAGAAAUGAGUUUGACACCCCUGUACUACACCAUCAGAAAAAAAAAAAAAAAAAAUCAACAAGUUACUGUGCUUUAAUAACUUUAUUACUGCCAUUUGUCUAUUCAUCCUAUGUCUGUUUAUGAAUGAACAUCUACUGUACAUGCAGUUUUACCCGAACACUGGCAUAGACUGAGCAAGAGCUGAAUGACAUGGACAAAAUAGCAGAAAGAAACACGCGGACACACUGUAAAAGGUUAUCUCAGCUAAGUCACCCAAUGGGAAAGGUGAGCAAAGUCCAGCAUAGGGUGGUGCAGAUUUAUAGUUUCUGAAAAUACCUGAAGGCUGGUGAAGAUUUAAAAGACACUUGACUCAUUUAGGGGUGACUUGGUCGACAUGACUUCAAAAUAGCUAAAUAAUAUGAUAGCAUGUAGGGCUGCAACAUUGACAGCCGUAAUGAUAUUUUUGUUCAUAUGCUACUUUUGGACACCUGUAAAGCUGACAAAAAUACAUAACAACAGAGCCAAUAAUUAUACUCAGUCAGCUAUGCCUACCACACAUAAGAUAAAGAGGCGCAACCUCAUUACAAAUAACAUUGGUAAACAACUAUGCGAGAGUCACAGAGGCAUGAGGGGAGGACUCCAUGUGUGCCUCCCAAUGAAUCAGUGAAGCACUUUUUCAAUUACUUGGCAGUCUAAUUGCUGGGGAUUCAAUUUAUGGGCUUAUGCUAAAGGAAACCACCAUUUUCUUCUCACCAUUUGCCAAUUUAAUCCUACCUUAAACCCGAAUGCCAUACAAAAGAGUACGUAUACUAUGGAGGGAGUAUUUUAACUGAAAAAGCCUGAAAAACAUUUUUUUUAUUAUUAUUAUUAUUAUCUUUUUUUUUAAAUGGGAAAAAAAUGGUUGUUAUUAAUGUUGAAUACAGCUAACAAGGUAAACUAUAGUUACAUAAUAUGCAUGGGCCUUAGCAGAAAUCACCACCACCACAUUUUCUUCUCGCCAUUUGCCAAUUUAAUGCUACCUUAAACACGAAUGCCAUACAAAAAGAGUACGUAUACUAUGGAUGGAGUAUUUCAACUGAAAAAGCCCGAAGAACAUUUUUUUAUUAUUUUUUUUUUUACAAAUGGGAAAAAAAUGGUUGUUAUUAAUGUACAAUGCAGCUAACAAGGUAAACUAUAGUUACAUCAUAUGCAUGGGCCUUAGCAGAAAUCACCACCACCACAUUUUCUUCUCGCCAUUUGCCAAUUUAAUGCUACCUUAAACACGAAUGCCAUACAAAAAGAGUACGUAUACUAUGGAUGGAGUAUUUUAACUGAAAAAGCCCGAAGAACAUUUUUUUAUUAUUAUUUUUUUUUACAAAUGGGAAAAAAAUGGUUGUUAUUAAUGUAGAAUGCAGCUAACAAGGUAAACUAUAGUUACAUCACAUGCAUGGGGCCUUAGGCCACUAAUGCGUGUCAUUCCAGCAGAAAUCCCAACACAGUGUACCCUGGAGGUAAUGACUAAAACAACUCCUAACACCACUUGUCAGAAAUGGAAACGUGUUUAUCCAACAACUAAGGCAGUAAAUAUUAAACUGAGAUUGUCUACUAAUGUUGCAUUGGCUAAUUUCUCCUGUGUUAGCUUCAGAGGGACUGAUUUUAAGGUGGGAAGUCUCAACAAAACAUGGUGUCAUGAUAUCCAUCUGCAAACUGUCAUGAUCCUGCUGCUCCCGCACGAGCUGUGCGGGUGCCUGCGCGGGUGCGCUGAUUGGGGCGCACACCUGCGUCUCAUGCGGGCUGAUUAGUCUGUGUAUUUAUAUCACCCCGAUGACGAUUGGUCCCCGCCAGUUCGUUGAGCUUCAUGUCCCGUUCCAGCACACUCGUAUCCCUGAUCGACAACCUGUGUGUACCGACCUUCGCCUGUUCUCCGACCAACCUUGUAAGCCUGACUUCUGUCGUUACUUCUGCCUGCUUUGAUUGUUCUCCUGUGUACAGGCUCCUCCCUGCCCGCUCACCUGCUCUCUUCGCCCGACGUCCCAACUACCGCUGCUGCACCGGACUGCCUGCUCGAUCCCCUACCUCUGCAUAUAAUAAACGUUUCUCCUUGAACUACCUUGCAUCUUCUGAGUCCUGCAUUUGGGUCCUACUCUCGUUCCAAUGGGACGUGACAGGAACUGGCCAACACAGGACCCAGCAGGAAAGACCCGGCGUCGCCGGGACCGACGCAAGGUAGACCGUCUGCCGGAGGACCAUGCCUGUCUGAUCCGGGUAGGCUCCCUGAUUUCCUCCGCUUCCGUGUCUUACGCUCCGCCAGCGAGGUAUGAAUACGUCCCGAACACGACCCGUCCGGCUCCUCAUAUUCUUCUGGACUCUGACUUUUCGGAAUAUGAGGAGGACCGUGAUUUGUAUGACCGGAUGCCGGAGUACGACUCCGAUUAUUCUGAUUAUCAAUCUGCUCGUCCGAUCUUUCAUCCCAGUCAGUUUAUUUCACCUCCCCGCGUUUCCAGCACCCGAGCGUCUUCGCCCGGUAGGUUUAAGUACACCAAUCCGUAUGAGGGAACCCGCUUGGCCAUCUACCCGGGACCUCCGCGUGGCGGCCAGAGGAGACGCCCCGGCCGGGCGCUCCCCGGUGCCUCCCGCUGCGCGGCAACUAAGACAUCGUCCUCCCACUCCUCGCCGGCAACGGCGAAACCGGCAGACCCGCCGCUGUUGGCGAAGCAUCCAGCCCAGAGGGAGGAGGAGCCGCCAAAUCACGAGGCGUUCUGCCGUGAAAUGCGGGCGCAGAUAGAGCGGCGAAUUGGCGGCUCUGACGGCCCAGGUCCGGCAAGGAUUGGCGAACCAGCCAAGCUAUGCUGACGUCACAACUGCGACGGACUCGCUGCUGAUGCAGGUUCACGUGGCAGUUGGAACUGACCCGCUCCCGAGACACGCCCACGUGUCAGUUUUGACUGAUUCUCUGCCUACUCUCGUUCACGUUGCCGUGGAAACCGACCCGCCCACUCGCCAAGCUCAGGCUGCAGUGGGAACGGACUCGCCACCUCGCCAUUCCCACGUCGAGGUUUUGGCUGUUCCGAGCAGAGUUCACGCGGCAGUUGGAACUGACCCGCUCCAGAGACAUGCCCACGUGUCAGUUUCGACUGACUCCCUGCCGACUCUCGUUUACGUUGCCCUGGAAACUGAUUCGCCACCACGCCACGCCCACGUUGCUGUCUCAACGAAUGCACCGCUGCUGUCCAGGAGGUGAAUAAAAACGUUGACAGAAUCAACUACAUACAUUACAAUGUACAGAAACUAGUAAUUAUAUGGAAGCGGGCUUUAUUGCAUUAAGGGAACAACCAGCUGCAACCUCACUCAUGACGUUCCAGAACCGCAUAGCGGUCGACACACUCCUGGCCGAGAAGGGUGCCGACUGCUCAAUGUUCGCUGACCAGUGUUGUUUAUUCCAAAUAUCACCUGAUGGGUCACUCACAAGGGCCAUUCAAGUCCUCGCACCCUGAACCACAAGAUGAAGGAGCACUGUGGUGUAAACACAUCAGCCUGGUCUGAGUGGUGGGAAAAAAAAGUUUGGCAAAUCUAAAAAUUUGGUGUUCUCUGUCAUAGUUUCUAUAGCUGUUUGCAGCUAUUCUUGCAUUGUGUGGAUGUUGUUGUAUUCCCUGCAUAAAGGCAUCACAUAACCAAAUCAUAACCACUGCUAUUGCCCCGACAAAUUCAAAAUUGGCAGAAAUAGAUCCACUAUUGGCACAACAGGGUAAUGACAGUGAUAUUGUUGACCACGAUGAUGACGUUUUGACUUCUCUUCCAGACCUGUUCUCUGAGCCAGAAGAUUACAAGUAAUUAGUGCUAUAUUUUCCUCCGAGUGUAACUAUGUAGAAUAAAGCCGAAAGUGUGAUCUAUUAGAUGACGUGGGGAUUUGAGCAAAUGUUGGAUAAACACGGAGAUAAUGUAGAAAUAAUUGUAAAUAGAAUUAAGUAACUGCUUCUGACUGCAAUGAAGAAAUGCUUUGCAUGCACAUGCACAUGAACAAACAUGUACACCUUGUUUCCAACUGUUUUGCUUGCCGUCUCCUUUUUGUAACAUCCAUGUUAACAAGGGGCGUCUUAAAACUAAAUAAAUAGAGGUGCUGAGGAGAGGAUAAUCAGAGAGUGCAGUGGGGAAUUAUACGAGAUAUUUCCUCUCAUCUCUCAUCGCGAGACUUGACCUGGUGUCUUUGCUUCCUUUUUUGUCCCGUUUAAUGAAUGUCUGAUUGGUGAACCUGACAUCCAGAAACUAAAGGCUGCUGACUGGUUUUAAAUUGCGACAGGCAUUUUUGAAAAAAAUAAUAAUUGGUUUC